rnacentral:rRNA from 1 species
AGCAGCCGCGGUAAUUCCAGCUCCAAUAGCGUAUAUUAAAGUUGUUGCAGUUAAAAAGCUCGUAGUUGAAUUUCGGGGUUAGUAGGUUGGUCAUGCCUCUGGUAUGUACUGGUCUCACUGAUUCCUCCUUCCUGAUGAACCUUAAUGCCAUUUAUUUGGUGUUUUGGGGAAUUUGGACUGUUACUUUGAAAAAAUUAGAGUGUUUAAAGCAAGCUAACGCUUGAAUACAUUAGCAUGGAAUAAUGAAAUAGGACGUUCGAUCCUAUUUUGUUGGUUUCUAGGAUUGACGUAAUGAUUAAUAGGGAUAGUUGGGGGCAUUAGUAUUCAAUUGUCAGAGGUGAAAUUCUUGGAUUUAUUGAAGACUAACUACUGCGAAAGCAUUUGCCAAGGAUGUUUUCAUUAAUCAAGAACGAAAGUUAGGGGAUCGAAGACGAUCAGAUACCGUCGUAGUCUUAACCAUAAACUAU